GAUGAACGCUGGCGGCGUGCCUAAUACAUGCAAGUCGAGCGAAUAGAUAAGGAGCUUGCUCCUUUGACGUUAGCGGCGGACGGGUGAGUAACACGUGGGUAACCUACCUAUAAGACUGGGAUAACUUCGGGAAACCGGAGCUAAUACCGGAUAAUAUUUCGAACCGCAUGGUUCGAUAGUGAAAGAUGGUUUUGCUAUCACUUAUAAAUGGACCCGCGCCGUAUUAGCUAGUUGGUAAGGUAACGGCUUACCAAGGCGACGAUACGUAGCCGACCUGAGAGGGUGAUCGGCCACACUGGAACUGAGACACGGUCCAGACUCCUACGGGAGGCAGCAGUAGGGAAUCUUCCGCAAUGGGCGAAAGCCUGACGGAGCAACGCCGCGUGAGUGAUGAAGGUCUUCGGAUCGUAAAACUCUGUUAUUAGGGAAGAACAUACGUGUAAGUAACUGUGCACGUCUUGACGGUACCUAAUCAGAAAGCCACGGCUAACUACGUG
rnacentral:rRNA from 1 species